UAAAAAUUGGCUAAACUAUUGAUAAACAUACCAUCUAAUGCUGGAAAUAUGACAUAGUACAGUGGGUAUUGAUGAAUUUACAACCAUCGCUACAUUUUGAUACUCAUUGAACAGAGAAACUGAUGGAAAUGGACCAGCCAAGCUAUGCGUAAUGACACCAUCUCUAUCUUUUAACUACUUUGUACUUGGCUUCCGAUUGACGCUCAGCUCAGGUAAAGCACAAGAACAAUUAGCAGUAAAUUGUAAUUGUAUAUUACCAGUAGUCAUAUACUCAGGAGCAGCACAACAGAAGGUACCCAUUUUACUGUGUAUUGGCUCAACUUUGCAUUGUAAUUCUUUAUUCGGAGAUUCUAUGAUAGUGGUUGGAAAUAAGCAGUCCUCUG
rnacentral:misc_RNA from 1 species